ACGCCCAUACCAUGCUGAAUAUACCGGUUCUCGUUAGAUCACCGAAGUCAAGCAUCAUUGGGCGCGGUCAGUACUUGGGUGGGUGACCACC